UUUAAUUCAAUACUUCUGCAUAUUCCUGUGAAAGUUCGGUAAGAUCUUAUAAAAUGUCUAAAUGAUAUAAAUUUGGAUCAUUCCAAUAUUUUCCCCACUACACUCCUCAUUGAAUCUCACAUGGGUUUGAACUUGUGUUGGAUUCAUCGAAUUAAUAUUUGAACGAGUUAGCAACUAGUUGUUUACCUCACCAUAUUUGGUGCAUUGGAAUUCAAACUCAGAGAACCAAUCAAUUUAAAACGUGCUUUGCGCGAAUUGCGCUGUUUAUUAAAAUGUGGAAAGAAGACAUAGAAAGGGGCUUUUAUCUACUGAGAUGGAGACUUCCAUUAAUCGACUUCGGGAGACCAGUACCAGGUUCUUUUUUCAAUAGCCAUCACAAACUAAAAUAUUGAAGAAUGAAGGGAGUGGAGCUACUCAGCACUUCAAUGAGUUCAACGGAGAUUUGAUUUACAAGAGUAACUUGGAAUAAGAGAACAUUAUAAUAAAGGAGGACAGAAACCAAGAAAUAGACCAUUGCCAAAGAAAAUGGACAGAAUGGAAGAAGAAAAAGGUUACACAUUUUACAAAAUCCAUGUGUGCUAAUGGAAUGAUGCCAAGCGAUGAAGACGAUGAUGAGGGCUUCUUGACAUACUGAUAUUCAUAGGAAAGCAACUCCUUUAAAACAUACAUAGAAAUUUGUCUGGCAAGAAGAAAUAGACUCGU